rnacentral:rRNA from 1 species
AGAGUUUGAUCAUGGCUCAGAUUGAACGCUGGCGGCAGGCCUAACACAUGCAAGUCGAACGGUAACAGGAAGCAGCUUGCUGCUUUGCUGACGAGUGGCGGACGGGUGAGUAAUGUCUGGGAAACUGCCUGAUGGAGGGGGAUAACUACUGGAAACGGUGGCUAAUACCGCAUAACGUCGCAAGACCAAAGAGGGGGACCUUCGGGCCUCUUGCCAUCAGAUGUGCCCAGAUGGGAUUAGCUAGUUGGUGAGGUAACGGCUCACCAAGGCGACGAUCCCUAGCUGGUCUGAGAGGAUGACCAGCCACACUGGAACUGAGACACGGUCCAGACUCCUACGGGAGGCAGCAGUGGGGAAUAUUGCACAAUGGGCGCAAGCCUGAUGCAGCCAUGCCGCGUGUAUGAAGAAGGCCUUCGGGUUGUAAAGUACUUUCAGCGGGGAGGAAGGUGUUGUGGUUAAUAACCGCAGCAAUUGACGUUACCCGCAGAAGAAGCACCGGCUAACUCCGUGCCAGCAGCCGCGGUAAUACGGAGGGUGCAAGCGUUAAUCGGAAUUACUGGGCGUAAAGCGCACGCAGGCGGUCUGUCAAGUCGGAUGUGAAAUCCCCGGGCUCAACCUGGGAACUGCAUUCGAAACUGGCAGGCUUGAGUCUUGUAGAGGGGGGUAGAAUUCCAGGUGUAGCGGUGAAAUGCGUAGAGAUCUGGAGGAAUACCGGUGGCGAAGGCGGCCCCCUGGACAAAGACUGACGCUCAGGUGCGAAAGCGUGGGGAGCAAACAGGAUUAGAUACCCUGGUAGUCCACGCCGUAAACGAUGUCUACUUGGAGGUUGUGCCCUUGAGGCGUGGCUUCCGGAGCUAACGCGUUAAGUAGACCGCCUGGGGAGUACGGCCGCAAGGUUAAAACUCAAAUGAAUUGACGGGGGCCCGCACAAGCGGUGGAGCAUGUGGUUUAAUUCGAUGCAACGCGAAGAACCUUACCUGGUCUUGACAUCCACGGAAGUUUUCAGAGAUGGAAUGGUGCCUUCGGGAACCGUGAGACAGGUGCUGCAUGGCUGUCGUCAGCUCGUGUUGUGAAAUGUUGGGUUAAGUCCCGCAACGAGCGCAACCCUUAUCCUUUGUUGCCAGCGAUUAGGUCGGGAACUCAAAGGAGACUGCCAGUGAUAAACUGGAGGAAGGUGGGGAUGACGUCAAGUCAUCAUGGCCCUUACGACCAGGGCUACACACGUGCUACAAUGGCGCAUACAAAGAGAAGCGACCUCGCGAGAGCAAGCGGACCUCAUAAAGUGCGUCGUAGUCCGGAUUGGAGUCUGCAACUCGACUCCAUGAAGUCGGAAUCGCUAGUAAUCGUGGAUCAGAAUGCCACGGUGAAUACGUUCCCGGGCCUUGUACACACCGCCCGUCACACCAUGGGAGUGGGUUGCAAAAGAAGUAGGUAGCUUAACCUUCGGGAGGGCGCUUACCACUUUGUGAUUCAUGACUGGGGUGAAGUCGUAACAAGGUAACCGUAGGGGAACCUGCGGUUG